rnacentral:rRNA from 1 species
AUUGAACGCUGGCGGCAUGCCUUACACAUGCAAGUCGAACGGCAGCAUGGAGAGCUUGCUCUCUGAUGGCGAGUGGCGAACGGGUGAGUAAUGCAUCGGAACGUACCGUGUAAUGGGGGAUAACGUAGCGAAAGUUACGCUAAUACCGCAUACGACCUGAGGGUGAAAGCAGGGGAUCGCAAGACCUUGCGCGAUUAGAGCGGCCGAUGCCUGAUUAGCUUGUUGGUGGGGUAAAAGCCCACCAAGGCGACGAUCAGUAGCUGGUCUGAGAGGACGAUCAGCCACACUGGGACUGAGACACGGCCCAGACUCCUACGGGAGGCAGCAGUGGGGAAUUUUGGACAAUGGGGGCAACCCUGAUCCAGCAAUGCCGCGUGAGUGAAGAAGGCCUUCGGGUUGUAAAGCUCUUUUGUCAGGGAAGAAACACCGGCUCUAACACAGUCUGGGAAUGACGGUACCUGAAGAAUAAGCACCGGCUAACUACGUGCCAGCCGCCGCCGUAA